ensembl:lncRNA
CUCCUACUAAACACAAAUAAAAAUAUCAGACAAAAAUGUGAGAAGCAACUGCCUAGGAAUUCAGAAAAGGAAAAUAAAAUAAGGCAGUAUCAAGAGGAGUUCAAAACUUGAUGUAAAACCACAAUGGUGGCAGUAAUCUUGCCGGUGUUUUAUUGGUCAAUUUUUACAUUCUGUCUGUUUUGCUUCUUUACCUUCCAGGUUUUACUGCAAGGUGGGCCAAAUCAGGAAACAGCUCAGCAGAUAGAGACACAGGCCUUUAUGGACAGAGGACUGGAAGGAGAAGCCACUGCAAGCUGGUAAACUGCUACAGAAAACCUACAGGAGGUUUUCCAAUGUAAAUGUUCAUGGAACGUUGUAUUUUCCAAAAAUGGCCACUGCAAAGCUUUUGGUUCCACCUGGUUUUAGAGAACCUCUCCCUAUCAAGAGGUAGCACUCCCCCAUCCCUUAGAACUUGGGUGCAACUCUGACUGCUGGGAUACAUACAAUGCAGCAGAAGUGACUUCUAAGGCUGUCUGAAAAGGUGGUAAGUUUCUGCCUGGCUCUCUGUACGCUUGUCUUAAGAAGCCAGCCAGGCAGUUGCAAGAAAGCCCAAACUAAACCAUACUAUAAGACCACAUACUGGGGUCUACAAGGAACAGAACUGAGGCCUCCAACUUCUAUCCAGCAUUAACUACUAG